AGUGAACGCUGGCGGUAGGCCUAACACAUGCAAGUCGAACGGCAGCACAGUAAGAGCUUGCUCUUACGGGUGGCGAGUGGCGGACGGGUGAGGUAUACAUCGGAAUCUACUUUUUCGUGGGGGAUAACGUAGGGAAACUUACGCUAAUACCGCAUACGACCUACCGGUGAAAGCAGGGGAUCUUCGGACCUUGUGCGAUUGAACGAGCCGAUGUCGGAUUAGCUAGUUGGCGGGGUAAAGGCCCACCAAGGCGACGAUCCGUAGCUGGUCUGAGAGGAUGAUCAGCCACACGGGAACUGAGACACGGUCCAGACUCCUACGGGACGCAGCAGUGGGGAAUAUUAGGCAAUGGGCGCGAGCCUGAUACAGCCAUACCGCGUGGGUGAAGAAGGCCUUCGGGUUGUAAAGCCCUUUUGUUGGGAGAGAAAAGCAGCAGGUUAAUACGCCGCUGUUCUGACGGUACCCAAAGAAUAAGCACCGGCUAACUUCGUG
rnacentral:rRNA from 1 species